rnacentral:rRNA from 1 species
UACGGAGGGUGCGAGCGUUGUCCGGAAUCACUGGGCGUAAAGCGCGCGCAGGCGGCGAUCUACGUCUGGGGUGAAAGCCCGGAGCUCAACUCCGGGACUGCCUUGGAUAAGGGAUCGCUUGAGGAUUGGAGAGGCAAGGGGAAUUCCACGUGUAGCGGUGAAAUGCGUAGAGAUGUGGAGGAACACCUGUGGCGAAGGCGCCUUGCUGGCCAAUUACUGACGCUGAGGCGCGAAAGCGUGGGGAGCAAACAGG